GAGGCCCCUAGGGUCGCCACCGAAGAGCGGGCAAUCUCCACCCGCGUGGGGCCUCAAUCCCAGGAUGG
rnacentral:sRNA from 1 species